rnacentral:tRNA from 1 species
GCCGAGGUGGCGGAAUUGGCAGACGCGCUACCUUGAGGUGGUAGUGGGGUAAAACCUGUGUGGGUUCAAAUCCCACCCUCGGCACCA